ensembl:ncRNA C34E11.13 ncRNA
AAAAGUGAAUUUUGGAAGAAAGAGAGCACAGAACAGAUGAAAGCGAGGGAAAGACAGGAGUGGGUGGUUUGAAUAAAAGUAUGAAAUUCAUUUUUUUGGUCAACAGAGUUAAAUACAAUAAAAUUUUUCCCAAAAAGAGCAACGAAAUAUAUUUUAAUUUGUUAAU